rnacentral:rRNA from 1 species
AAUCAACGCUGGCGGCGUGCCUCAGACAUGCAAGUCGAACGAUUAAAGCUCCCUUCGGGGAGUGCAUAAAGUGGCGCACGGGUGAGUAACACGUAAGUAAUCUACCCUCGGGUGGGGAAUAACAUCGGGAAACCGAUGCUAAUACCGCAUAAUGCAGCGGCACCGCAAGGUGACAGUUGUUAAAGAUUUAUUGCCUGGGGAGGAGCUUGCGGCAGAUUAACUUGUUGGUAAGGUAACGGCUUACCAAGGCUACGAUCUGUAUCCGGUCUAAGAGGACGGUCGGACACACUGACACUGAAUAACGGGUCAGACUCCUACGGGAGGCAGCAGUCGGGAAUUUUGGGCAAUGGGGGAAACCCUGACCCAGCAACGCCGCGUGAAGGAUGAAGUAUUUCGGUAUGUAAACUUCGAAAGAAUAGGAAGAAUUAAUGACGGUACUAUUUAUAAGGUCCGGCUAACUACGUGCCAGCCGCCGCCGUAACAC